rnacentral:rRNA from 1 species
GGCAGAGCAAAUCCCUAAAAGACCAUCCCAGUUCGGAUUGUAGGCUGCAACCCGCCUGCAUGAAGUUGGAAUUGCUAGUAAUCGCGAAUCAGAAUGUCGCGGUGAAUACGUUCCCGGGUCUUGUACACACCGCCCGUCACACCAUGGGAGUCGGAAAUGCCCGAAGUCAGUGACCUAACCGAAAGGGAGGAGCUGCCGAAGGUGGAGCCGGUAACUGGGGUGAAGUCGUAACAAGGUACC